CAGGAUGAACGCUGGCGGCGUGCUUAACACAUGCAAGUCGAACGAGGUUUAAGACUCGGUUUAAACCGAGUGGCGGACGGGUGAGUAACGCGUGGGUAACCUGCCGUAUGCAGGGGGACAACAGUUAGAAAUGACUGCUAAUACCGCAUAAGCUUACAGUAUCGCAUGAUACAGUGAGAAAAGAUUUAUCGGCAUACGAUGGACCCGCGUCUGAUUAGCUAGUUGGUGAGGUAACGGCCCACCAAGGCGACGAUCAGUAGCCGACCUGAGAGGGUGACCGGCCACAUUGGGACUGAGACACGGCCCAAACUCCUACGGGAGGCAGCAGUGGGGAAUAUUGCACAAUGGGCGCAAGCCUGAUGCAAGCGACGCCGCGUGAGUGAUGAAGUAUUUCGGUACGUAAAGCUCUAUCAGCAGGGAAGAUAAUGACGGUACCUGACUAAGAAGCCCCGGCUAACUACGUGCCAGCCGCUGC
rnacentral:rRNA from 1 species